AUGGCGCCGGUGAAGGUGUUGGGGUCGGCGGCGUUCACGAACGUGGCGCGGGUGCUGGUGUGCCUGGAGGAGGUCGGCGCCGAGUACGAGAUCGUCGACGUCGACUUCCGUUCCAAGGAGCACAAGGGCCCCGACCACCUCGCCAGAAACCCGUUCGGCCAGGUCCCGGCGUUCCAGGACGGGGAUCUCACGCUCUUCCAGUCCCGCGCGAUCUCACGCUACGUGCUCCGCAAGCACAUGACCGACGAGGUCAACCUGCUGAGGGAAGGCGACCCCAAGGAGUCGGCCCUCGUCGACGUCUGGCUGGACGUGGAGGCCCUCAGCUUCGACCCCGCCAUGCGCUCGGUGUUCUACCAGCACCGCGUCGCGCCGGCGCUGGGCGGGGCGCCCGACGAGAAGAUCAUCGGCGAGAGCGUCGAGAAGCUGAGGAAGGUGCUGGACGUGUACGAGGCCCGGCUGAGCAAGCACAGGUACCUGGCCGGGGAUUUCCUGAGCCUCGUGGACCUCAGCCACUUCCCUGAGACGCACUACUUCAUGGGGAUGCCGUAUGCGGCGGUGUUCGACGCCUACCCUCGUGUUAGGGCGUGGCUCGAGGAGCUGUUCGACAGGCCCGCCGUCAAGAAGGUCAUCGCGCUCAUGGCCAAGGACUUCAAUUAG
rnacentral:rRNA from 1 species